rnacentral:rRNA from 1 species
CUACGGGUCGCUCCAGUGGGGAAUAUUGCACAAUGGGGGAAACCCUGAUGCAGCAACGCCGCGUGAGUGAAGAAGGCUUUCGAGUCGUAAAGCUCUGUCCUAUGGGAAGAAUAGAUGACGGUACCAUAGGAGGAAGCCCCGGCUAACUACGUGCCAGCAGCCGCGGUAAUACGUAGGGGGCAAGCGUUAUCCGGAAUCAUUGGGCGUAAAGGGUGCGUAGGCGGCCAGACAAGUCAGAGGUGAAAGGCUACGGCUUAACCGUAGUAAGCCUUUGAAACUGUUUGGCUUGAGUGCAGGAGAGGAAAGUGGAAUUCCUAGUGUAGCGGUGAAAUGCGUAGAUAUUAGGAGGAACACCAGUGGCGAAGGCGACUUUCUGGACUGUAACUGACGCUGAGGCACGAAAGCGUGGGGAGCGAACAGGAUUAGAUACCCUUGUAGUC